GGAUAGGUGGGAGGCUUUGAAGUGUGGACGCCAGUCUGCAUGGAGCCAUCCUUGAAAUACCACCCUUUAAUGGCUGGUGUUCUAACGUGGACCCGUUACCCGGGUUGCGGACAGUGUCUGGUGGGUAGUUUGACUGGGGCGGUCUCCUCCUAAAGAGUAACGGAGGAGCACGAAGGUUAGCUAAUCCUGGUCGGACAUCAGGAGGUUAGUGCAAAGGCAUAAGCUAGCUUGACUGCGAGAGUGACGGCUCGAGCAGGUGCGAAAGCAGGUCUUAGUGAUCCGGUGGUUCUGAAUGGAAGGGCCAUCGCUCAACGGAUAAAAGGUACUCCGGGGAUAACAGGCUGAUACCGCCCAAGAGUUCAUAUCGACGGCGGUGUUUGGCACCUCGAUGUCGGCUCAUCACAUCCUGGGGCUGAAGUAGGUCCCAAGGGUAUGGCUGUUCGCCAUUUAAAGUGGUACGCGAGCUGGGUUUAGAACGUCGUGAGACAGUUCGGUCCCUAUCUGCCGUGGGCGCUGGAGAAUUGAGGGGGGCUGCUCCUAGUACGAGAGGACCGGAGUGGACGCAUCACUGGUGUUCGGGUUGUCAUGCCAAUGGCAUUGCCCGGUAGCUAAAUGCGGAAGAGAUAAGUGCUGAAAGCAUCUAAGCACGAAACUUGCCCCGAGAUGAGUUCUCCCUGAGACU
rnacentral:rRNA from 1 species